rnacentral:rRNA from 1 species
AAGCCUGAUCCAGCCAUGCCGCGUGUGUGAAGAAGGUCUUCGUAUUGUAAAGCACUUUAAGUUGGGAGGAAGGGCUGCAAGUUAAUACCUUGUAGUUUUGACGUUACCAGCAGAAUAAGCACCGGCUAACUCGGUGCCAGCAGCCGCGGUAAUACGGAGGGUGCAAGCGUUACUCGGAAUCACUGGGCGUAAAGAGCACGUAGGCGGCCUUGCAAGUCAGAUGUGAAAUCCAACGGCUUAACCGUUGAACUGCAUUUGAAACUGCAAGGCUAGAGUAUGGGAGAGGUAGGUGGAAUUCUCGGUGUAGGGGUAAAAUCCGUAGAGAUCGAGAGGAAUACUCAUUGCGAAGGCGACCUGCUGGAACAUUACUGACGCUGAGGUGCGAAAGCGUGGGGAGCAAACA